GUAAUAUUGGACAAUGGGGGAAACCCUGAUCCAGCCAUGCCGCGUGUGUGAAGAAGGCCUUCGGGUUGUAAAGCACUUUAAGCGAGGAGGAAGGGUUCUUAAUUAAUACUUGAGAGCAUUGACGUUACUCGCAGAAUAAGCACCGGCUCACUCUGUGCCAGCAGCCUCGGUAAUACAGAGGGUGCAAGCGUUAAUCGGAAUUACUGGGCGUAAAGCGCGCGUAGGCGGUUGGAUAAGUUGGAUGUGAAAUCCCCGGGCUUAACCUGGGCACUGCAUUCAAAACUGUACGGCUAGAGUGUAGGAGAGGAAGGUAGAAUUCCAGGUGUAGCGGUGAAAUGCGUAGAGAUCUGGAGGAAUACCGAUGGCGAAGGCAGCCUUCUGGCCUAACACUGACGCUGAGGUGCGAAAGCAUGGGGAGCAAAC
rnacentral:rRNA from 1 species